CCAAUUUAUUUAUACAACAUAAAAUAAUAUAUAUCUUUGUUUAAUACAUGUCAAUAUAUAUUUUAUUUUUUAUGUUAUUUAAACAACACAUUCAAAAACACCAAUAUUUAAAAAACAUAAAAAUAAAAUCAAAGUUUAAAGUAUAAAAAUAAAAACCCUGGCAAUAACCUACUCUCCCGCGA
rnacentral:misc_RNA from 1 species